AAUAAGUGCAGCUUUUUACUGUUUAUCUCCAACGUUUGACUGUUCGUCUUAUUUAAUUUUUUUUAUGAUUAAUAUUUUGUUAUCAUUAGAUGAUAAAAUAUGAAUAGUACUCUAUGUGUACUAACAUUUUUUUUACUUUUUCAUAAAUUUAUCAAAUAAGAGGAACGGUAAAACGUUGGACACUGAUAUCCACAGUUGCGUUUAUU
rfam:Oryza glumipatula chromosome 1, whole genome shotgun sequence.